rnacentral:rRNA from 1 species
AUUGAACGCUGGCGGCAUGCCUUACACAUGCAAGUCGAACGGCAGCGGGCCUUCGGGUGCCGGCGAGUGGCGAACGGGUGAGUAAUGCAUCGGAACGUGCCCUGGAAUGGGGGGAUAACGUAGCGAAAGUUACGCUAAUACCGCAUAUUCUGUGAGCAGGAAAGCAGGGGAUCGCAAGACCUUGCGUUCUGGGAGCGGCCGAUGUCGGAUUAGCUAGUUGGUGGGGUAAAAGCCUACCAAGGCGACGAUCCGUAGCGGGUCUGAGAGGAUGAUCCGCCACACUGGGACUGAGACACGGCCCAGACUCCUACGGGAGGCAGCAGUGGGGAAUAUUGCGCAAUGGGCGAAAGCCUGACGCAGCCACGCCGCGUGAGUGAUGAAGGCCUUCGGGUUGGUAAAGACUCUGUCGCAGGGGAAGGAAACCGUAGACGGUACCCGUCGCAAGAAAGACACCGGCUAACUCUGUGCCAGCAG